rnacentral:rRNA from 1 species
UACGUAGGAGGCAAGCGUUGUCCGGAAUUACUGGGCGUAAAGCGCGUGUAGGUGGUGGGACAAGUCUGCUGUGAAAGUCGGGGGGCUCAACCCUCGGAUGCCGGUGGAUACUGUCGGGCUUGAGUACGGAAGAGGCGAGUGGAAUUCCUGGUGUAGCGGUGAAAUGCGCAGAUAUCAGGAGGAACACCGGUGGCGAAGGCGGUGAGCUGGGCAGUUUCUGACACUGAGGCGCGACAGCGUGGGGGAGCAAACAGG